GUUUUUGCCACUGAAUUCAUAUCCAAAGGAGACUUUGUUGUGGAGUACCGAGGUGAACUGCUUACACAACAGGAGGGCGAGGUCCGAGCUGAUCAGUACAAUGAUUCUGCAAAGGUGUUUCUUUUCGAUUUCCAAUGGAAAGGAAGAACAUGGUGCAUUGAUGCAUCUGAAGAAGACUCCUCCCUUGGGAGACUCGUUAAUGAUGAUCACUAAAGACUCAAUCUCAAAAUGAAGGCCAUACAAGCAAACGAUGAGCCACACUUGUGCCUCUUCGCGACUCGAGAUAUUGCAGCUGGCGAAGAGUUGACUUAUAGUUACGGUGAUUCAGACUGGCCAUGGAGAACACAGGUCAUCAAAACUGAAUUGUCGUCCAGCCCAAAACCUGGUAAGAACUUUACUAAAGUCAUAGAUCAAUAUGAGUUAAUUUUUUUCUAUUAUCACAUUUACUAUUUCACUUUCACAAAUACACAUUUAUAGUCUAACAUCAAUUGCACUGGAAU